UUCGACACCUGGGGUGUUGUUCAGUGCGUGUUGUUUCUUCCUCCGACACCUGGGUUGCUUCUCAGUGCUAUCGUGUCUUUGCUACUUCACUCCACAGAGAGGGAGAUAGUGAAGGAAGUGGUGCUGAGAAUUGCGCAUCCGCUUCUGACGACUUUUGGCAAUAUCAGCUGCAAUCGAUUUGCGGAUUUUGAAGCUUCACAGCAUAUUUGAGGACAGCGAAAGAGAGAAAAGAAGGAGAAGAGAGAGGGGAAAAUCUUGAUUAAAACUAAUCAAGCCAACCAAUAAAAUUGUAACAUUCCUGCUAUAGGAUUAUAUCCAGUGCUUUCCGUGUUGAAUAACCGCAGUUUCUCCCUAGAAGAUUACAUUUGUCAUCAAAACUUGGUAACUAAAGACUCACACUUGGUCAGGAUAAAACUAAAUGUUCAAUCCUUCGAAUCAUUACUUUCACCAAUAGUACUAUCUCCUACAAUCGAAAACCUAUGCAUCCAAGCUAGCCAGCAAAAUUUAGUUAGGGCUAUAAAUGAGUUCCAACAAAGUUUAGCUGACUGGUUUGAAUGGAUCGGUUCUCGACAGUGGCACAUAGUAAGAAUCAGUUACGCCAGAAUAUCAAGUAAAACCAACUGUCCACAGCUUAAGGACCACUAUCAGCUUUGAUGAAGCUGCACUUGCACAAAUUCCUCAAGCAACCAUCACAAGUUGGCACAAUCCAGCAAAUUAAUCUAGCAGCUGCAUUCACAACAACUUUUUAGCUGCUACAUUCAUUUGCUAAAGCCACUGCAAUAUUAAUAUUGAUCUGCCUGAAGUAGCAAGAAAUUUAUACCUUCCGAUACUAUUAUAUUCAGAUCUGUGAAACACAUUGACAAAGCUAGCCAUAAUAUUUCAGUCACAAUCAAGUUAUAAAACAGGUGUAGCCAAUGAAAUACAUCUACUCCACUGCUUAUAUCAGUUCUUUGCCCUGAUAUACACUUCUUUACCUUCGUUUACUCACUGUUAAACCUGACUGCCUAUGGUAGCACUAAGGUACCCUUUUAUUCGUUUCUGCAUGUUUAUUCCAACCUUUGGUAGUUGAUCAAGGAUAUGAACUAUGUUAUUUGGUGUGAGCUUCAAAAAUUUGUCGCUCUCUUUUUUCCAUUUUAAAAUCCAUCUUUUAUUUUUUUGGUAGCAUUUUUGAACACAAUUUGUACUAAGCUUUCAUUCGAUCAACCAAACACAUUAAGCAAUAGGUUCUAAGACAUUAAACGCAAGUAUGACAAGCUACUAACUAGCUGAUCACAUAUUUAUACAAUCCAAGACAUUCUCUUCACUUCUCCAAUCUUUGACCACAUAUAUUCUUCGUAUUUCAAAACCAAAUCAACUACAGCAAUGAAUUUGCAAUCAUACUUCUGAAUUUCUUCUUCAAUUUGCUACCUUACUGUACUUUUAAUUUAAAAGUCUACAAUAGACAGUUAAUUGAGAAUGGUUGAAAACUUCACAAAUUUUGUCAUCUGCAUUUUGCUACAGGAAUAUCAUAUGCAAAGAGUAAUUUGCUCUGGAUAAUGUUUGUAUGAAGUAAUUUGCUCAAUAUCCUUAGAGUCAUUUACAUGUGCAGUAAUCCGAGGUACUAGCCUUGCACAAAGUCAAAGAACAUCCAGUAUGAUCAUCUUCUGUUUGCAGUUGGACUUUGUCACCAACUCAUUGAUAUUACAUAAUCAGUUAUAGGCCCAGUGACACAUUGUAACCCUCCACUUGAAUUCAUUUAUUGUAAUGGAAAAAUUGUGCCUGACCUCAAAUGGAAGUUGGUAAGGUGUACUUGAGCUCAAAACGUAUGUAAAGACAGUUACACCGGAAUGAGAUGGAGAUUCAAUUAGAACAUUACUUCAUACAAACAUUGUGCUAUAUAAUGUUAUCAAAUCAACAAUAUUCUUAUG